GAUGAACGCUGGCUACAGACUUAACACAUGCAAGUCGAGGGGAAACGCCGGGGAAGCUUGCUUCCCCGGGCGUCGACCGGCGCACGGGUGAGUAACGCGUAUCCAACCUGCCUCUGACUGAGGGCUAACCCGUCGAAAGUCUGCCUAAUACCUCAUGGCAUCGUCUCCGGGCAUCCAACGACGAUUAAAUAUUUCAUCGGUCAGGGGUGGGGUUGCGUCUGCUUGGCUAGUUGGCGGGGUAACGGCCCACCAAGGCGACGAUCAGUAGGGGUGCUGAGAGGAAGGCACCCUACAACGGAACUGCGACACAGUCGAAAACCCGACGGGAGGGAACAGUGAGGAAUAUUGGGCAAUGGGGGAGAGCCUGAAACAGCCAAGUAGCGUGCAGGAGGACGGCCAUAUGGGUUGUAAACUGCUUUUAUGCGGGGAUAAAGUGAGGGACGGGUCCUUCAUUGCAGGUACCGAAUGAAUAAGGACCGGCUAAUUCCGUG
rnacentral:rRNA from 1 species